AUUUCAUACCGCACCUCUCCUGCUCUAUUUUCUCAAGAAGCAAAGCCAAGGGAUGGAAAUCUAAACCUUGGAGUUGCUCUGAGAUCGUUCUUCCCCGUGGAGGUUGAUGAGGAAAAUCUUUAUCCCUCAAUUUUAAAGAAACCUCAGCCUCCCUCCUCUCACUAAUCUAUUUUCUUCGCUGGCUCCUUUGAGGUCACAAGUCUCGCCUCCUUCUCUUUUGUUUUUGUUCGCUACUGGGUUCUUUGAUUGGGGUCGUGCUCAGUCAACCUUAACAGUCGCUUCAUUCCUCUCCUCUUCAUACCUCUUCCCUAUUUACAAGCGCAGUCUUAUGUUGGAAGAACUGAGAAAUUCUGUUGCUGCCAUUUGGAAAGGGUUGGAAAGCAUCCAAUACAGUAUUGUCACUCUAGUUUUGGAUCAAGAUUAAGCUUGUCUUUUUGAUACAAUGUGGGGAGGUUUUGCUUUCUCCUUCUUCAUGCUUCUCUUUCUUGGAAAUGAUGUAUUUGGAAUUUUCUUCUACCUUAAAGAUAUCCCCAGAAAGAUUAUUGAAGAAAGAAAAGAGGCCCUAAAAACUGGCGUGGUCCUUAUCCCUCAGAACUAAAACAAUGGCUAGCAGCAGGCAUGCACUAUUUUUUUGUUUCACUUUGUUUGUAAUAAUAGCAGGCACUUUUUUUUUGUUUUCACCAUUUACUCUAUUAGAUAUCAACCGUGUAGCAAAUUAGUAUAUUUUGCAUGCAAUAAUUUCGUUAAUUCUGAAAACAUGUUAUGGUACUUAAGUAGACCUGGUACUGAUUUGGUCAAAAAAAAAAAAAGACCUGUUACUGACAGGUGGUUUCUUAUUGGCAACGCUAUUGAUUCUUGGAAGUAAAUA